rnacentral:rRNA from 1 species
GCACAAGCGGUGGAUGAUGUGGUUUAAUUCGAUGCAACGCGAAAACCUUACCCACCUUUGACAUGUACGGAAGCCUUUAGAGAUAGAGGCGUGCUCGAAAGAGAGCCGUAACACAGGUGCUGCAUGGCUGUCGUCAGCUCGUGUCGUGAGAUGCUGGGUUAAGUCCCGCAACGAGCGCAACCCUUGUCAUUAGUUGCUACAUUCAGUUGGGCACUCUAAUGAGACUGCCGGUGACAAGCCGGAGGAAGGUGGGGAUGACGUCAAGUCCUCAUGGCCCUUACAUCCCGGGCUACACACGUGCUACAAUGGCAGGUACAGAGGGCUGCGAAGCCGCGAGGUGGAGCGAAUCCCAGAAAACCUGUCUCAGUCCGGAUUGAAGUCUGCAACUCGACUUCAUGAAGGCGGAAUCGCUAGUAACCGCGAAUCAGCAGGUCGCGGUGAAUACGUUCCCGGGCCUU